GAUGAACGCUGGCGGCGUGCCUAAUACAUGCAAGUCGAGCGAACAGAUGAGGAGCUUGCUCCUCUGACGUUAGCGGCGGACGGGUGAGUAACACGUGGAUAACCUACCUAUAAGACUGGGAUAACUUCGGGAAACCGGAGCUAAUACCGGAUAAUAUAUUGAACCGCAUGGUUCAAUAGUGAAAGACGGUUUUGCUGUCACUUAUAGAUGGAUCCGCGCCGCAUUAGCUAGUUGGUAAGGUAACGGCUUACCAAGGCAACGAUGCGUAGCCGACCUGAGAGGGUGAUCGGCCACACUGGAACUGAGACACGGUCCCGACUCCUACGGGAGGCAGCCGUAGGGAAUCUUCCGCAAUGGGCGAAAGCCUGACGGAGCAACGCCGCGUGAGUGAUGAAGGUCUUCGGAUCGUAAAACUCUGUUAUUAGGGAAGAACAAAUGUGUAAGUAACUAUGCACGUCUUGACGGUACCUAAUCAGAAAGCCACGGCUAACUACGUG
rnacentral:rRNA from 1 species